AUUGAACGCUGGCGGCAUGCUUUACACAUGCAAGUCGGACGGCAGCACAGAGAAGCUUGCUUCUUGGGUGGCGAGUGGCGAACGGGUGAGUAAUAUAUCGGAACGUACCGAGUAAUGGGGGAUAACUAAUCGAAAGAUUAGCUAAUACCGCAUAUUCUCUGAGGAGGAAAGCAGGGGAGCUUCGGGCCUUGCGUGAUUCGAGCGGCCGAUAUCUGAUUAGCUAGUUGGUGGGGUAAAGGCCUACCAAGGCGACGAUCAGUAGGGGGUCUGAGAGUGUGAUACGCCACACUGGGACUGGGACAGGGCCCAGGCUACUGCGGGAGGCAGCAGUGUGGAAUGUUGGACAACGGGCGCAAGCCUGAUCCAGCCAGGCCACGUGUCUGACGAAGGCCUUGGGGUUGUAAAGGACUUUUGUCAGGGAAGAAAAGGCUGUUGCUAAUACCGACAGCUGAUGACGGUACCUGAUAAAUAAGCACCGGCUAACUACGUG
rnacentral:rRNA from 1 species